GAGAAUAUGUUUCCUGGUUAACAGAAUGCAUGUAUGUUUAAAAGAAGCCACCUAAAAGGCAAAAAUUACCAACUUUGUGGAUUUUACACAGACUCAAAAAAAAUUAAGAAGCAGUAUUCGAAUGACUGAAGUUCUGGAGAAAAUGACAGCAAACACUCCCUGUGUCUGAAUGAGAGGGGAGUCAGUGAAUCAAUCAGCAAAAGGUUGGACCCAUAUUCAACUGAAUCACGCCAGAGCCUGCACAGCCAAGGAAAACUGGAUGGUGUCGUCUUUGUAGCACACCAGACAAUUUUGCAGUGUGGAUAAUGGAGCAUGCAGUUUCUUAGAAUGCUAUAUGAGCCUUAAACUGAUUGGAGAUGCUGAACUUUGUG